AACUUAAGGUAAGCAUGUCACAAAUUUUUCUUCCCUAGGCUGGCUUUGAACCACAAUCUUCAGAUUUCAGCUUCCUGAGUAGUUAAUAUUACUACAGACAGACAGUGCCUGGCUGUCAUGUUCUUUAGAGACUGAACUGAAAUGUGUCUGCAUGAAAAGGCUAUGGAUUUAACUUUGGUGUACAAAUUUUAAGCCACAUGAAAUCAAAACCACAAUUGGAGAUACUGUAUCUUGGCAAGCUUGCUAGUUCUCCCAGCAAUCCCCCAAUGAAAGCAGUAGGCUUCCAUUAAAUGAACAAGUGCUCACAGGAGUCCAGUCUACUGCCUUUGGCUUUCUCAAGAGACUCACCAGUUGAGACAUUAUCCACAUAAAGAGACCAAAGAGAACACAUUAAACUCAUUUGUCACACAAAUCUUCACAUUCAGAAAGUAUCAGUUACUUGUUGACAGAUUGAUAAAAGUUCUCCAGACCACUAGGAUUCAUUUUCUUGCUUGCUUUAUUUUUGUUUUCAUUUAAUAAACCCUCUCACACAGCAGGUCUAUCCUCACAUUUUCAUGUCUUUUCAUCUAGACCCUGGAAACUUGCAUCUUUAGGGAGCUCUGCUUUCUAUCAACAUCACUGCUUAUCACAAGCCAAUAAUAAAUACAUUUCUGUGUAGAUGGAAGGAUGUAAAUGAAGAUUAAGCCCACAUUACCUAAAGUGGAAACUAUGCCGCCAAAAUUGAAAAGUAGGCUCAGGCUCUCCCCACUUUCCAGGGCCCCUGUCGAUUCCAGCUGGACUGUGCUUUUUGGAAUUCAUGCGCUGGCUGUGGUCCCCAUCCUUUCUCAGAAGUAACACCUUAUGCUGUCUGAGGAGGAACACAUCUUAAUCCAUUGUGUGAAUACUCAUGUUUUGAAGAACCAAACCAGUUAUCUUAAGCAGAGGUGAACCUACCAUCUUCCUCCGGACUUCAGCCAAUCUCUAAGGAAUGCCUUUAAAAUUACUUCCAAGUGGGGAAGUUGGAGGAUAAUCUUUUAACAC